rnacentral:rRNA from 1 species
UACGUAGGGGGCUAGCGUUGUCCGGAAUCAUUGGGCGUAAAGCGCGUGUAGGCGGUCCGGUAAGUCCGCUGUGAAAGCCAGGGGCUCAACCCUUGGAUGCCGGUGGAUACUGUCGGGCUUGAGUACGGAAGAGGCGAGUGGAAUUCCUGGUGUAGCGGUGAAAUGCGCAGAUAUCAGGAAGAACACCCGUGGCGAAGGCGGCUCUCUGGGACGGUACUGACGCUGAGACGCGAAAGCCAGGGGAGCAAACGGG